UUAAGUAAGGUCAAUAACCGGCUUCGUUCUCCAAAGGAAUUAAAGCCCCAUGCCAUGGUGUAAAGUUAUUAAACUAAAUUGACUUUGAAACUGCGAAUGGCUCAUUAUAUCAGUUAUAGUUUAUUUGGUGAAGGAUACUAAUUGGAUAACCGUAGUAAUUCUAGGGCUAAUACAUGAGUAAAGUCCCGUUGGGAUGUGUUUAUUAGAAUGAAAACCAUAUGCUUCGGCAUGAUAGUGAGUAAUAGUAACCUAUCGUAUCGCAUGCUUAAAGUAGCGAUGAGUCUUUCAAGUUUCUGCCCUAUCAGCUUUCGAUGGUAGCAUAUGGGUCUACCAUGGGCAGUAACGGGUAACGAAGAA
rnacentral:rRNA from 1 species